UGAGCUUCCCAAUGUAUUUCUAUUAUCCUUCCUACCUGAAAUGGUCAUGGAGCAAGCAUAAACACUGUUACAAUCGACCUUUUACAACGAAAUCUAUUUGCCAGCGUUAUUAUGCUGAUGGGAAUGCUAUUGAGCUGCUCUCUUCCCUUAUUUGUGCUCAGUUUCAUAUGGCUCUUCUAGAAGAAUCUGUAAAAGCACCAUUCAGGAGGUCCCCCCCCCCUUUUUUUAUUCGUCUGGAAGUACAUGGGGGUAUUUUUCGUCCACAAAAAUAUAUAUCUGUAUGUGGCUUAUUGAGUAAGAAGAGGGGAAGUAGAGAAGGAGAAGAAGUGGAAGGCCUCUCUCUCAGUUUGUUGCUUAUAUACCAAACAAAGAGUCCUGGAAGCCUGUGCGCGAUCAAUCUUACUCGCCAAAAGGUCUGACAGCUCGGUGCCCUCACAACACAUUUAAGGCUUCUAACUCUCCCCCGGAUCAAAUGCAGCCAGGAAGCGCCGAGAAACAGUGGUCACUCAGAUUAGAACCGGUUUCUGCUCGCACUGGUAGUCUGUUUGUCGCUGGAGGGAUUUUUUUUCUUUCUUUUUAAGAACAAGAAAAAAAAAAGGAAUCUGGUCACACAAGAUGCGACCAUUUCCUCUCUAAGAGCCAUCGAACCCUCCACGAAGACCCGGGUGACAUUUUUAUUAUUAUGGAUGUGCCCACGCAGAUGAGAGAGGCGCGCUGGGAAAGAGAAGGGGGCCCACCUUCAAGGAAGAGAGAGUAAAUAGAUCAAAUGUUUUUUUUUCUUUUUUUCUUUUAAUCUGCGAUUUGUUCUUUUUUUUUGUUUAAAAAAAAAGAGAUUUAAUGCGGAGCAGUUUGGACUCUUCUUUAAAUUAGUUUUAGAAAUUUCCGGUAGGACUUUAAUUUGUGAAAUGUACUUCUUGAAUAUAAUAUUUGUAGUUUAAAAAGAGCGUUAUGUUUUAUGCUGCUUUACCGAUGAUUCCAUACCAUCGCUGAUAACCCCUUUUCAUUUUCAGGUAUAUAUUUUUGGGGUUAAAUUAAGCAGCAUUAUGUGAUCAUGUAAAUGUGAAACUGCUUGCAAAAUUUAAAAUUAAAACGGGUGGAUCUGUUUUUUUUAAUGUUGUUUUGUUCUGUUUGUUUUUUUUUCACAUCAAUGCUUUUAUUUGUUUCUUCGAACUGGAGCACCGUGGAAUGUUUGACAUCGAGAAGAAGAAAAAAAAAAUGAUGAUGUGUUUUGCUUUUUAUUCAAUAAAGAAACUGCAAACGUGUGUCCUUCUUUCCACCCUUAUUGCAUGACUGAUUGGUUUCUUUUUUCAUUCGCUGACAAAACAGAAACACCUCCUCGAAUAAUAAUAAUAAUACUAAGAAAGAAACAAAUUGGAAAACCUGCAAUCUAAGUGACAUGGCUGCAUAUAUGGGCCGAACAUGGCGCUAGUUUCUCCACCAACCUUCUCCCCUUGCAGACAGAGAUGGAGGAGCGUCAAAUAAUACUAUUGGAGUCUGAAUAAAUAACAUUUAAAAAGACCAAUGGAACAAAACAGAAGCAAAAGGGGAGGCUGUGCAAGUUCAUGACCCUUUGUUUUAAAUGUAAUCUCCUCACAUUCCCAGCUCCUGGCUCUUAAUGUUCGUUUUGUACACAAGUGCAACAGAAUGCAAAAAAAAAAAAA